GAUGAACGCUGGCGGCGUGCUUAACACAUGCAAGUCGAACGGGGAUAAGACAUCGGAAGAGCUGCUUGCAGAAUGGAAGAAGUCAUAUUCUAGUGGCGGACGGGUGAGUAACGCGUGGGCAACCUGCCUUAUACAGGGGGAUAACAGCUGGAAACAGCUGCUAAUACCGCAUAAGCGCACAGCGGCGCAUGACGCAGUGUGAAAAACUGAGGUGGUAUAAGAUGGGCCCGCGUCUGAUUAGCUGGUUGGGAGGGUAACGGCCUACCAAGGCGACGAUCAGUAGCCGGCCUGAGAGGGCGGACGGCCACAUUGGGACUGAGACACGGCCCAG
rnacentral:rRNA from 1 species